rnacentral:rRNA from 1 species
GACGAACGCUGGCGGCGUGCCUAACACAUGCAAGUCGAACGAGAUCCAUGGGAGCUUGCUCCCGGAAGAUCUAGUGGCGAACGGGUGAGUAACACGUGAGAAACCUGCCCUGGAGUGGGGAAUAACUCGGGGAAACUCGAGCUAAUACCGCAUACCCUCGGAUGGUCGCAUGGCCGACCGAGGAAAAGAUUUAUCGCUCUAGGAGGGUCUCGCGGCCUAUCAGCUAGUUGGUGGGGUAACGGCCUACCAAGGCAACGACGGGUAGCUGGUUUGAGAGAACGAUCAGCCACACUGGGACUGAGACACGGCCCAGACUCCUACGGGAGGCAGUAGUGGGGAAUCUUGCGCAAUGGGCGAAAGCCUGACGCAGCAACGCCGCGUGCGGGAUGACGGCCUUCGUGGUUGUAAACCGCUUUCAGCAGGGACGAAAUAGACGGUACCUGCAGAAGAAGCCCCGGCUAACUACGUGCCAGCAGCCGCGGUAAU